AGCGAACGCUGGCGGCAGGCUUAACACAUGCAAGUCGAGCGGGCACUUUCGGGUGUCAGCGGCGGACGGGUGAGUAACGCGUGGGAACGUGCCCUCUGGUUCGGAAUAACUCAGGGAAACUUGAGCUAAUACCGGAUACGCCCUCUUGGGGAAAGGCUUGCUGCCGGAGGAUCGGCCCGCGUCUGAUUAGCUAGUUGGUGAGGUAACGGCUCACCAAGGCGACGAUCAGUAGCUGGUCUGAGAGGAUGAUCAGCCACACUGGGACUGAGACACGGCCCAGACUCCUACGGGAGGCAGCAGUGGGGAAUAUUGGACAAUGGGCGCAAGCCUGAUCCAGCCAUGCCGCGUGAGUGAUGAAGGCCUUAGGGUUGUAAAGCUCUUUUAUCCGGGACGAUAAUGACGGUACCGGAGGAAUAAGCCCCGGCUAACUUCGUG
rnacentral:rRNA from 1 species